rnacentral:rRNA from 1 species
AAUAUUUCAUAGUUGAAUUGGCUUGGAAAAGUUUUUCAACAAAAGGGAUAGGGAAAAUGGUCUCUAUCCGCUAUAGGAUAGGAUCGUGUUCGAUUAUGGUAGUUGGUGAGGUAACGGCUCACCAAGCCGAUAAUCGAUAGGGGCCGUGAGAGCGGGAGCCCCGAGAUGGGUACUGAGACAACGACCCAGGCCUUACGAGGCGCAGCAGGUACGAAACCUCCACAAUACACGAAAGUGUGAUGGGGUUACCCAAAGUGUUCAUUAUUGAACUGUGGUAGGAGAGUAAUGUCCCCUACUAGAAAGGAGAGGGCAAGGCUGGUGCCAGCCGCCGCGGUAAAACCAGCUCUUCAAGUGGUCGGGAUAAUUAUUGGGCUUAAAGUGUCCGUAGCCGGUUUGGUAAGUUCUUGGUAAAAUCGGAUAGCUUAACUAUCUGUAUGCUAGGAAUACUGCUAUACUAGAGGGCGGGAGAGGUCUGAGGUACUACAGGGGUAGGGGUGAAAUCUUAUAAUCCUUGCAGGACCACCAGUGGCGAAGGCGUCAGACUGGAACGCGCCUGACGGUGAGGGACGAAAGCCAGGGGAGCGAACCGGAUUAGAUACCCGGGUAGUCCUGGCCGUAAACGAUGCAUACUAGGUGAUGGUACGGCUAUGAGCCAUAUCAGUGCCGUAGGGAAACCGUUAAGUGUGCCGCCUGGGAAGUACGGUCGCAAG